rnacentral:tRNA from 1 species
GUGUGGCUCAGUGCUAGAGCACUUGCUUAGCAUGCAGAGAGGACCUGGGUUCAAUCCCCAACAC